rnacentral:rRNA from 1 species
UGAAUACGAGAUGCUACGGCGUCGAAGCAGUCUAUGUCAUACUUCCAAGAAAAGCUUGCACUGUCAUAAACAAAUAAUGCCUGUACCAUAACCGACACAGGUGGGUAGGUAGAGUAUACUAAGGGGCGCGAGAUAACUCUCUCUAAGGAACUCGGCAAAAUGACUCCGUAACUUCGGGAGAAGGAGUGCCUUAUUUUAUAAGGUUGCAAUAACAAGAUCCAAGCAACUGUUUACCAAAAACACAGGUCUCCGCUAAGUCGUAAGACGAUGUAUGGGGGCUGACGCCUGCCCAGUGCCAGAAGGUUAAAGAAGUUGGUUAGCAUCCCCGAAGCUGAUAACUGAAGCCCUGGUGAACGGCGGCCGUAACUAUAACGGUCCUAAGGUAGCGAAAUUCCUUGUCGGGUAAGUUCCGACCCGCACGAAAGGCGUAAUGAUUUGGAUACUGUCUCAGAGAGGGGCUCGGUGAAAUAGACUUGUCUGUGAAGAUGCGGACUACCUGCACCAGGACAGAAAGACCCUAUGAAGCUUUACUGUAACUUGAAAUUGAAAUUGGACUUUACUUGCGCAGUAUAGGUGGGAGGCGUUGAGAAUAUUCUUGCGGGAAUGUUGGAGCCAUCAGUGAGAUACCACUCUUGUAAUGUUAGAUUUCUAACUUUGUAUCAUUAUCUGGUCAAAGGACAGUUUCAGGCGGGCAGUUUGACUGGGGCGGUCGCCUCCCAAACGGAAACGGAGGCGCACAAAGGUUUCCUCUGAACGGGUAGAAAUCGUAUCUAGAGUGUAAAGGCAUAAGGAAGCUUGACUGUGAGACCUACAAGUCGAGCAGGGACGAAAGUCGGUCUUAGUGAUCUGACGGUGCUGAGUGGAAAGGCCGUCACUCAACGGAUAAAAGUUACUCUAAGGAUAACAGGCUGAUCUCCCCCAAGAGUUCACAUCGACGGGGAGGUUUGGCACCUCGAUGUCGGCUCAUCGCAUCCUGGGGUGGUAGUACGUCCCAAGGGUUGGGCUGUUCGCCCAUGAAAGCGGUACGCGAGCUGGGUUCAGAACGUCGUGAGACAGUUCGGUCCAUAUCCGGUGUAGGCGUUAGAAUAUUGAGAGGAGCCUUCUUUAGUACGAGAGGACCGAGAAGGACAUACCUCUGGUGUACCAGUUAUCGUGCCAACGGUAAACGCUGGGUAGCUAUGUAUGGAGUGGAUAACCGCUGAAAGCAUCUAAGUGGGAAGCCCACCUCAAGAUAAGUAUUCUC